UUUCAUUUUGAGGGGUGAGCAGGGAGGCUCUAGCUCAAUGAACUGAACUGUCCUGAAAAGUCAGGACAGAACACAAAAGCAACGGAUGGAAAAACCAAGUAUGGCAACACUUAGUCUGUUUAAUACUUAUAAAGGAAAGACUCUGGAAACACAGAAAGCUACAGUCACAGCACGCCAUGGAUUACAGAGUCCUUGGAAAAGUUGCCAUUUCACGAAGGAUGCCCCCUCCUGCUAAUCUCCCCAGUCUUAAAGCAGAAAACAAAGGCAAUGAUCCUAAUAUAAACAUGUGCCUAAGGAUGGCACAGGAUGGGCUUCUAAACAAGAGCAACAUGAGGAAGAAAAACCGCCAGAAGUGCCACAGACACAACCAAAGCCUGCAGUUCCUGCUCCAAGAAGCACCUCCUGUUGCCAAAAUCAUGGGCCAAUAC